rnacentral:rRNA from 1 species
AUACGUAGGGGGCGAGCGUUGUCCGGAAUGAUUGGGCGUAAAGGGCGCGUAGGCGGCCCGGUAAGUCUGGAGUGAAAGUCCUGUUUUUAAGAUGGGAAUUGCUUUGGAUACUGUCGGGCUUGAGUGCAGGAGAGGUAAGUGGAAUUCCCAGUGUAGCGGUGAAAUGCGUAGAGAUUGGGAGGAACACCAGUGGCGAAGGCGACUUACUGGACUGUAACUGACGCUGAGGCGCCAAAGUGUGGGGAGCAAACAGGAUUAGAUACCCUGGUAGUCCACACUGUAAACGAUGAAUGCUAGGUGUAGGGGGUAUCGACCCCUUCUGUGCCGCAGUCAACACAAUAAGCAUUCCGCCUGGGGAGUACGGCCGCAAGGUUGAAACUCAAAUGAAUUGGCGGGG